GCCGGGUGCAGUGGCUCACACCUGUAAUCCCAGCAACUCGGGAGGCUGAGACAGGAGGAUUUCGAGUUCCAGCCUCAGCAACUCAGUGAGACCCUCUCUCUA
rnacentral:sRNA from 1 species